rnacentral:lncRNA from 1 species
GGAUGUGUUUCUUUGCACAGUGUACAGGGGGGAGAGGGUGAAAGUCUUGUGUCUCCUGUAUAAGAACUGGGGACAUGAGAUGACACCGCUGGUUGUUCCGUCAACGAGGAAAGAAAAUGAAUGUUUUGGAGGUGGAGGAAGAUGGAGGCAACAGAAACGGAGGGAGAAAAAAAAGGAGAAGAUCCCACACUAUCCUUGCAGUAGUGAAAGGACACGGCCAGCAAAUGACAGAUUCUCAGUUGACAACAACAGUAUUAAAGCCAAAGUAAUCCUUUGUGGUGGGAUCCAAGGAACACCGUGCACGCUCAUUUGCAAAACACUUGCAAAACCCCGACCUUUGUUGCAGAAUGUAACUUCAAGGCUUGGCUGACUCUUAUACAUGAUCUAAUUAAGCAUGCCUGAAAGUGUAUUUACGAAAAAAAAAAAAAAGACAGAAGUAGAAGUGCUUAUAAUCCAGUGUUCUCAAGUCUCUUCAACAUUCCUUGAAUAGCUGCAUUCCUGCCUUGGUUCAGGAGCAGCACAUGCUCCUAAUGCGUAAUCCCCAAAUGACUCUUCACUUGCAAUAUUACUCAAUUCCUACAGCUGUUUGGCUCCUGUUUAAGUAUCUGAAUUGCAAUGAUCCAUGUGUGCUUCCUGCAUGUUUGGGUGCGUUAUCCCACUGAUUUUAAGGCAAAUUUCUCAUUCUAUGUUUCAUAUCCUAAACAUAUUUGGCAGCAUUUUUCUUUCUGUCUGUAUUAUCUUUGUGUUGCACUGAAUGAAAAGAAAAUAACAUUUUUGGAAGGUCUUUUAAACUUUGUUGGACAAGUUAGAGACUCCACGUUUGUUUUCAAUGAUGGCCAAAGGAAAUCAAAGCAGACAGACAUUUUUGAGAAAUAAAGUAUUCCAGCUGUACCA